UACGGGGGGGGCAAGCGUUGUUCGGAAUUACUGGGCGUAAAGGGCUCGUAGGUGGCCAACUAAGUCAGACGUGAAAUCCCUCAGCUUAACUGGGGAACUGCGUCUGAUACUGGAUGGCUUGAGAUUGGGAGAGGGAUGCGGAAUUCCAGGUGUAGCGGUGAAAUGCGUAGAUAUCUGGAGGAACACCGGUGGCGAAGGCGGCAUCCUGGACCAACACUGACGCUGAUGAGCGAAAGCCAGGGGAGCAAACGGG
rnacentral:rRNA from 1 species